UACUGAACUGCAGAGGAGAAAGGACGUGCAGCUAGAGGAAGGAAGGCAUCGCGUGUAGGUUGAAAUUUCUGGAGAUUGAAAGAGGACAGCUGAGUAGUGCUUGCCUGGCGUUGUGGCGCUGCGAGCGGUGUUCGGGUACCCCUGGCUGUCUUCCCUCACCACCUGCAUUCCUGCUACUGUAGUCAUGAAAUGUUCUCCUAGCGGCGCCACAUUGUCGAAACGACCAGUGGUUUCCAAACUGGAAGGCGCUCCCUACAGGGACGUAGGGAAAAUGAAAGGAGACCGUUAAGUAAUCUGCCCAAAAAUCAUUGUUUAAAAAAUACACAUGGCAAUUACUCCAAGAAAUAAAUAUUUAUUGAAAUGUUUCAUAGUUGUACUAUUUGUUUCGAUUUAAUCCAAGCAAAGCACAUUGUUUUUCCGAACAGUGCAUACGAUACAAACUGUGAAAAUGUAUAAUCUUGUAUAAAAACACAAUAGGGAAGGGAAGGAGGGGCACACUGCUCCUCUAUAAGCAACAAGAAAAGAGGCGUCACGCAAGACAGUUUGAGAACCACUGGUUCAGGACGAACAGUGUUAAAGCCAAAAGACACUUUAGUCGUUGGGUGUUUCAGUCAAAAUCUAAAAAUGUAAUUCUAAGAAAAAAAAAAAAACUAUUUAAGAAUAUAAUACGGGUGGUCGUGGUUUGAGAUGGCUUUGUUUCUUUAGUCUCAUUGCAAACCAUCACUGAGCAGUUAUUGCUCCUAAUAUAGCCAGGGCAUAAAACCCUGUUAUCUAUGCCGUAAUCUACCAUUCCUCCAUAUGGCUUGCUUUCAGACAGUGUGUUAGUUAUACGUACAGUACUUGUAUACCAGCCACGACAGCGACGCUGACGAUUACCUUUGCUCGACUUAGCGCCGCUCACAGCCCCACAGGAAUUCUUUUGACCUCUCUCUCUACGUAUGGACUGGCAUCUCUGGGCCUUUAUUUUUUUCUCUCUUUCUUUUGUCACCCCUCUCACAUAACGAAAAAGAAAAAAAAGCCAGCCCGUAAACUUUCUUCUAAAAAAAAAAAAGAAAAAAAAAAAAAGGUGUGCUUGGCUGUGACGUCUCCUUGGAAUAAGUGUUUUAUAAUUCAUCAGAAUAAAAGAGCGAGACUGCCGGAGGCCAAGGCGGGACAAGUAAGGAGAAGGGUGGAAAAGGGAGCUGGAGAAAAUGGAGGAGAGGACUAACGAAUACAGUGUGUGUGGAAAAUCCAAGACAUUCUGGGAAUAAACCCUCUGAGAAAUCCCUUACCUUCGAAAUGUCUCAACAUUUAAAUUUGGAGUUUUGAUAAAAGUAAUUCACA